rnacentral:rRNA from 1 species
GUACGUACAAGCAGUGGGAGCCCCACCACCAAAGCAUUCUCUGGUGUUGAAGGCCCUGCAAAGCAGCAUCGCGGUGGCGGAGCGUCGUUUGCGACGCCCAACACACAAAACAAGCGGUGAGUGCUUUGGGGUGGGGUGACUGCGUACCUUUUGUAUAAUGGGUCAGCGACUUAUAUUCUGUAGCAAGGUUAACCGAAUAGGGGAGCCGGAGGGAAACCGAGUCUUAAUUGGGCGUUAAGUUGCAGGGUAUAGACCCGAAACCCGGUGAUCUAGCCAUGGGCAGGUUGAAGGUUGGGUAACACUAACUGGAGGACCGAACCGACUAAUGUUGAAAAAUUAGCGGAUGACCUGUGGCUGGGGGUGAAAGGCCAAUCAAACCGGGAGAUAGCUGGUUCUCCCCGAAAGCUAUUUAGGUAGCGCCUCGUGAAUUCAUCUCCGGGGGUAGAGCACUGUUUCGGCUAGGGGGCCAUCCCGGCUUACCAACCCGAUGCAAACUGCGAAUACCGGAGAAUGUUAUCACGGGAGACACACGGCGGGUGCUAACGUCCGUCGUGAAGAGGGAAACAACCCAGACCGCCAGCUAAGGUCCCAAAGUCAUGGUUAAGUGGGAAACGAUGUGGGAAGGCCCAGACAGCCAGGAUGUUGGCUUAGAAGCAGCCAUCAUUUAAAGAAAGCGUAAUAGCUCACUGGUCGAGUCGGCCUGCGCGGAAGAUGUAACGGGGCUAAACCAU